rnacentral:rRNA from 1 species
GACGAACGCUGGCGGCGUGCUUAACACAUGCAAGUCGAACGGAAAGGCCCUGCUUUUGUGGGGUGCUCGAGUGGCGAACGGGUGAGUAACACGUGAGUAACCUGCCCUUGACUUUGGGAUAACUUCAGGAAACUGGGGCUAAUACCGGAUAGGAGCUCCUGCUGCAUGGUGGGGGUUGGAAAGUUUCGGCGGUUGGGGAUGGACUCGCGGCUUAUCAGCUGGUUGGUGGGGUAGUGGCUUACCAAGGCUUUGACGGGUAGCCGGCCUGAGAGGGUGACCGGCGACAUUGGGACUGAGAUACGGCCCAGACUCCUACGGGAGGCAGCAGUGGGGAAUAUUGCACAAUGGGCGGAAGCCUAAUGCAGCAACGCCGCGUGCGGGAUGACGGCCUUCGGGUGGUAAACCGCUUUCGGCUGUGACGAAGCGUGAGUGACGGUAAUGGGUAAAGAAGCACCGGCUAACUACGUG